UGGUGAUAUAAAGAGUGCAUUCCAACAAUCAAAUCUCAAAAACCAAGACUCUGAAAAUUUCACAAAUCUUGACACCAAGGACAAACUUAGCCAAGUCUCACCACCUAACUUAGCUCGCUUGAAAACCAACCAAAAUGAAAAAUUUCUUGCACGAGAUAUUUAUCGUACCCAUUUGGGGAUAUAAAGAGUGCAUUCCAACAAUAAAAUCUGAAAAACCCAGACUUUUAAAAUUUUAGAAAUUUGGGCACCAAGGACAAACUUAGUCAAGUCUCACCACCUAACUUAGCUAGCUUCAAUACCAACUAAAAUGAAACAUUUCUUGCACAAGGAUUUUUAAGGUAGUCAUUUGGGGAUAUAAAGAGUGCGUUCCAACCACAUAAUCUCAAAAGGCAAGACUUUGAAAAUUUCUCCAAUCUUUGCACCAUGCUUCAUGCUUAAUCCUUAAUAAAGCUUAAUAUGCUUAUGCCCUUAUAUGCCUAAAUGUUUAAAUCCUUAAAUUAUUAAAUGCUUA
rnacentral:lncRNA from 1 species